rnacentral:rRNA from 1 species
CCUACGGGCGGCUGCAGUGGGGAAUAUUGCACAAUGGGCGCAAGCCUGAUGCAGCCAUGCCGCGUGUGUGAAGAAGGCCUUCGGGUUGUAAAGCACUUUCAGCGGGGAGGAAGGCGGUGAGGUUAAUAACCUCAUCGAUUGACGUUACCCGCAGAAGAAGCACCGGCUAACUCCGUGCCAGCAGCCGCGGUAAUACGGAGGGUGCAAGCGUUAAUCGGAAUUACUGGGCGUAAAGCGCACGCAGGCGGUCUGUCAAGUCGGAUGUGAAAUCCCCGGGCCCAACCUGGGAACUGCAUUCGAAACUGGCAGGCUAGAGUCUUGUAGAGGGGGGUAGAAUUCCAGGUGUAGCGGUGAAAUGCGUAGAGAUCUGGAGGAAUACCGGUGGCGAAGGCGGCCCCCUGGACAAAGACUGACGCUCAGGUGCGAAAGCGUGGGGAGCAAACAGGAUUAGAUACCCGUGUAGUC